rnacentral:rRNA from 1 species
CACUCUAGAGAGACUGCCAGGGAUAACCUGGAGGAAGGUGGGGAUGACGUCAAAUCAUCAUGCCCCUUAUGCUUAGGGCUACACACGUGCUACAAUGGGUAGUACAGAGGGUUGCCAAGCCGUAAGGUGGAGCUAAUCCCUUAAAGCUACUCUCAGUUCGGAUUGUAGGCUGAAACUCGCCUACAUGAAGCUGGAGUUACUAGUAAUCGCAGAUCAGAAUGCUGCGGUGAAUGCGUUCCCGGGUCUUGUACACACCGCCCGUCACACCCCGGGAGUUGGAGACGCCCGAAGCCGAUUAUCUAACCUUUUGGAAGAAGUCGUCGAAGGUGGAAUCAAUAACUGGGGUGAAGUCGUAACAAGGUAGCCGGAUCGGAAGGUGCGGCUGGAUCACCUCCUUUCUAAGGAGA